UGAUCGGUGGUGUAAUGGUAGCAGUGUAAGAUAGUCAAUCUUAAGAUCCAGGUUCGAUUCCCGGCUGGCCAG